rnacentral:rRNA from 1 species
AAUAUUGGACAAUGGGGGCAACCCUGAUCCAGCCAUGCCGCGUGCGUGAAAAAGGUCCUCGGAUUGUAAAGCACUUUAAGUUGGGAGGAAGGGUUGUAGGUUAAUACCCUGCACUUUUGACGUUACCAACAGAAUAAGCACCGUCUAACUCUGUGCCAGCAGCCGCGGUAAUACAGAGGGUGCAAGCGUUAAUCGGAAUUACUGGGCGUAAAGCGCGCGUAGGUGGUUCAGGAAGAUGGGUGUGAAAUCCCCGGGCUUAACCUGGGAACUGCUUUCAUAACUGCUGAGCUAGAGUACGGUAGAGGGUAGUGGAAUUUCCUGUGUAGCGGUGAAAUGCGUAGGUAUAGGAAGGAACACCAGUGGCGAAGGCGACUACCUGGACUGAUACUGACACUGAGGUGCGAAAGCGUGGGGAGCAAACA